rnacentral:rRNA from 1 species
UACGUAGGUGGCAAGCGUUGUCCGGAUUUACUGGGCGUAAAGAGCGCGCAGGCGGUCGUGCAAGUCGCGUGUGAAAAGCCCCCGGCUCAACUGGGGAGGGUCACGCGAUACUGCUCGACUCGAAGGCAGGAGAGGGAAGGUGGAAUUCCCGGUGUAGUGGUGAAAUGCGUAGAUAUCGGAAGGAACACCAGUGGCGAAAGCGGCUUCCUGGUCCAGCCACCGACGUUCAGGCACGAAAGCGUGGGGAGCAAACAGGG